rnacentral:lncRNA from 1 species
AAUUGUGGAAGGACCCUGAAGAAAUUAGUGUCUGCUUACAUUUGCCUGCGAAGAAUGAGUUUAUUCCAUCUGAUUUUUCAAAACGUGCUGAGAAGGUUAACUGUGAUUCGAAAAAUGCUAAACCAAGAUGCAUACUUGAGGAACCUCUGAUGAAGAUCUGGUACAAGCUAGAUAAGACAACGUGCUGAGAUGGCUAACUGUGAUUCGAAAAAUGCUAAACCACGAUGCAUACUUGAGGAACCUCUGAUGAAGAUAUGGUACAAGCUAGAUAAGACAUUUAAGCUUCCUCGUGCCAAUACAUAUUUCCGUAUCACACUAAGAGAGGGUUACGGUAAUUUGAAGAAUGCCUUGCUCACUGAAUUAUUUAUUCACCUUCUAACAGACG